rnacentral:rRNA from 1 species
CAUGCAGGUGGUUUGUUAAGUCAGAUGUGAAAGCCCGGGGCUCAACCUCGGAAUUGCAUUUGAAACUGGCAGACUAGAGUACUGUAGAGGGGGGUAGAAUUUCAGGUGUAGCGGUGAAAUGCGUAGAGAUCUGAAGGAAUACCGGUGGCGAAGGCGGCCCCCUGGACAGAUACUGACACUCAGAUGCGAAAGCGUGGGGAGCAAACA